AGAAUGGUUCAUGUAAAAGACCUUGAAAACAGCUUCCUCGUUUGCCUCCUACAAUGAAUGGAGCUGUCAGGGUGUGUAGAGAUGAAGCAGGAACGAAGUGCAUACAUGAGGACGGGAGCCGCAUGGAGGCCAGGAGGAGAUGGAAUGGAAGGUGAAGUGUUGGAGGGUGGACAGACAGGUGAGUUGUGGUGGUGAAAUUAUGCAGGAGUCUGGACAAUUAAUCCAGGCGGGCAGACAACCCAUAUGGGACGGUGAGAAGAUUAACAGAGGGAAUCUUGAAAAGAGUUCUCCAAUCAACUCCGAUGGCAGGGAGGCAGCGGACUGAGAUCCAGGGAAGGACCGACAGACUGGAAGAAGGACAACAAGGAGGUAAGCUAGGGACAUAAGAUGAGCGUGAGCAACAAACAAAAGGAGGCCUGAUUACCACUCAGUAAAUAAAAAUGAUCUAUCAUCUGCCUCAGGGAAGCUGCCCCUCUUUAAGCUCCUCUUGACUGGACUCGAUGAGCUUCAGCUGUUUGCCGACUUCAACAAGAGAGAGAAAAAAGAAAGGAAGUCAGAUCUGCAGGCAGCAGUCGCCGUGGAAAGAAUCUAUAUUAACCACAGCUGCAUUGUAACCUGUUACACAACCAUUGCCUUUUUCGUCUCUCUGAUGCAUAUAUAUGGUGUCUAUAUAGAGGAAUUCCCACACACAGAUGUAAGUCAAUUUGUUAGGCUAUUUUAAGACUAUUUCACAAGUUUCUUAACAGCUCAGUUGCUGUAGAACUUUCACUUCUUGCAAUAUGGAUGUUUUUGUUGAACUUUUGCUGUACACUGGUCCCUUAUUUUUCUCGUUUUCUUUUAGAAUAGAGAAAACUGGCCGGAUGAUGUAAAUAACGUGCCUCUGAGUUCACAGUUGAUCAUAGAAUCUAGUGACUUAGUAGGCUUAGGCCUACUAGAUUAAUUUUUGUUUUUUCUGCUGUGUCAUCUUCGUGCCUUAUGGCAAACAGCAAACAGGACCUCUUAUACAUUGGCAUGCAAAUGUAUUCACACCCUUUGAACUUUUCCCAGUUUUUUCAUUGUAAAACAAUAUACUUCAGUGUAUUUUAUCAGACUUUUAUGUGUUAAACCAAAAAGUAGUGCAUAAUUGUGAUGCAGUAGGAACAUAAUGUAUGGUUUCCCAAAUGUUUUGCAAAUUAAAAAAUUUAAAAUAUGAAA